CCAUUACUCUCGUUUGAAUUACUCUGAAACCCCUUUUUUGCUUCUACUUUUUUCAUGGCAAUGCAGUAAAAAUAUGUAGAGAAUCAUUAUAAGUGCAUACACCAUGCACUCAAAAUUAUAUUUUGUGAGAUAGGGCCUACAUUACAAA